GCUUUUGACAUUUAGGAUGUAGGGGAAAUGGUGCGCUCCUUUGUCGGUGGAUUGGAACUGAUUGUUAAUUUGCUGAAAUCAAACAACAAAGAGGUACUGGCAAGUGUGUGCAUCUCAUUGAAGGAGGACAUAAAAUACCUAUAAUCCUUCUCAAUUAGUGUUUACUGGGAAUAUUCAGUCCUAUUAUAAAUUGACUAUCUAUUAUAUUAUCAUAAAGUAACUUAAUAGUUCUGAGAUCCCUGUAAACAAGCUCUAUUGAGUAGUAUUCAUAGUAUAGGCCCUAGUCAAAAGUAGUGCACUAUAUAGGGAAUAGGGUACCAUUUGAGAUGCACCCAUAGAUGUCUGAUGUCUUGUUCUCUGUAUUACAGACUGAUGAUAAGCUGUGUCGUUACCUGGCUGAGGCAGUCGCCCGCUGCUGCAUGUGCGGCAGUAACAGGGUAUCGUUUGGGGAGGCCGUCCCCCCCUGAAGUCCAAGGACUCCUCGGUCCACCAGACCGCAGCUCAGACCCUGUUCCAGAACCCCAGCAACUACAUCACCAUGCACGAGAACAGAGUGGUGAAGCUCCUGCUAGGUAUGAUAGGCUCCACUGACGAGGUCCUUCUGGAGGCAGCCGCUGUCUGUGUAGCUAACAUCCGCCGUCUUUGCCCUGGCCAAUAAGAAGGCACGAUGCGGUUAACCAAUCACAACCACAACGACAUCCGCAGCAGCUACUGUGUCCUCUUAUUGCUGAUUGGAUGUCAUGGGUACAGAUCUACUCCAGUAGCCUUCCAUCCACAGAGACUUUUCUCACUAUGCCUCUAUCCGAUCCACCCAUCCCACAGAAUAUAGGUGUGAUUCAAAUCAAAUAUGAUGAGUGAUGCAUGUGUAUUUAUGUCCCUUCUUCCUUCUGCCUCCAUCUGUCAUAGUGGGAAGCUUUUAGUCCAUGCUACCCAAGGAUUUAGAUCAUUAUUUCAUUUGGAGUUCAAGCAAACAUAUAGGACAUACAAACAUGUGUGCCCAUGCCAGAUACCCCAUCACUGUACCUGAGAGUGAAGCGGUUUAGAGCAUGUAUUGUUCAGUCACAUUCCUUACGUAAUAAACAUGAGACACUGAUAUCUAAACAAGACCACAUCUGGUUGUGUUACUCACUUCAACACAUGCACCUUAAAACUGAAAAUAUGUCUGUGAAUCACAGGGAACACAAACACAGACACAACCUUCAAUGAGUCAUUGAGAGAUAUUGGGAACAUAAUAAUGCAUUGUUGGGUCAGUAUAUAUUAGGUUUGCUUAUUUGCUCAACAGUCUGUCUGUCUGUAUACAGAAUCAAGAAGAUAUUCUCGUAAAUGUUGAAUGAUACUCAUAAAUUCAAUCAACAUUGACGUAAACGGGCAGAAUACGGCGAUAACAUCUCAGAAUAUAAUAGAAGGUCCCUCCUGCACUACAAAUUUGAGUAAAUAUGAAUCUUAACAUGUAAUUGGUAUGAGCAGUUUCCCUAUUAAUCACAAUUACCUAAUGUAUUAUCUGUUGCAUUAUGGGUAGACAUGGCCAUUAUAAGUAAUUGGGAAAAUGUAUAUUUGAAAUGUCCUCAUUAUUUUUGCCUGUAAAAAAAAGCAAGCAAAUAAGUAUUUGUGGGCACUGAGACCACCUUAGAACCAAAAACUAGCGUGGCAUCUGCUCAACAAUACCUAUUAAACGACUCAUACGUGACCAGAAUCUUUCUAAGAUCCAAUAACUAUUGCUGCCUAUUUAUACAAGUAAUGACAUGAAUAAAAAAGAGAGAAUGUAUUGCUUUUUUAUUGAAUAGAAAACAAAACAUAACAAACGUGAAGGGAUUCAAUAAGAAGAAUGAAUUGCUGCUUAUGCUCAGACAUCCCUACUAGUGUGGUAGGAAACUUGAUGAGUGAGUAUGUUCUCCUCCUCCUCUGUCUUGUGUCCAGUGUCCUUAGUCAAAACAGGCCAUGUUAGUUUCCAUUGUUUUACAAUGGGCUGCAUUCAGGCAGACCAUGGCUGCUCCACCUCUCCUCUGGUCUGGCUGCUCCAGUGUCCUGGUCCUAAUUAGCCUCCCAGGCUUACUGUAGCACUCAGCCACCGAGCCACUGGAGGCAUCCCAAAUGGCACCCUAUUUCCUAUAUAGUGCACACGGCUCUGGUCAAAAGUAGUGCACUACACAGAUAAUAGGGUUCCAUUUGGGACACAGCCACUGAGACUACUGACUCCUCCUGACUCCCAUAAAACAUUUCAAGGGACUUUCAUCAUUAAUAAUAUCAGCCUGGCUGAGCUAAUAUUGAAAAUUAGCAAAACAUCAAAAAUAUGUGGUCGAAAAAUCUUCAUCACUCUUGUGAUGUUUUAAGCAGUACCAGCUGUCACUGGGGGUUACUGUGGGAGCACGGAGACAGAGAGGAGAGAGUGAACUUUAACUUGAUUACUCUGAAGAGGGAGCUCCUUCCAAAAAUCUGAACGAGGAGCUGGAGCUGGGCUGAGGAAGGCCAUUGUAUCGAAACGAUUCAAAACAAAUAAAUUCCCCAGUGAUUAAUGGCACUUUCAUUGCUCAUGCAGAUGCACUUUACGACCUUUCAAAAAACAUGCCAUAUCUGAAAACAGAUUUUUAGGAAACGUUUAAAUGAGAAGCAUUUGGUAACCUAAACAAGCAGAUGCUUGAGCAAGCCCCUCAUGUUGUGUUCUGUCUCUCUGUUUCUCUAUAUUUCUCUCUCUCUCUCUCUCUCUCUCUCUCUCUCUGCCUCUUUCUCUCUCUGUUUCACUCUCUCUCUGUUAAGUGUUUAAACUUGGAGGUUGCUGACUGGAAGGAUAUGCAUAACUAACAUAAUUAAACAAAUGUUGCAUGUUCUGCUGAAGGAAAGGAAUUUAUGAGAUGUACAACUCCACUACAUGUUUUAGCCAUUGGAGAGGAGGGGCAGAUGCACUGCACUGGGAGUUCAAGGGGCAUAGCAUUAUCCACAGUGCUUAAAAAUAAAAAUAAAAAUAUUCCUCUUGUUCACGAUGUCUUCCCAAUGUAUGCUGCUCAGUCAAGGUGACUAAUUAACCAAUUGAAAGCAUCCUCCUUGUUAUCGUCAAUAAAUAAUGUGUUUCUUGUCUUGACUGUGUUUCUGAGCCCUGUGCUGCACUUUGAACAACAUCAGGGGAAGGAAAGGGAAGUAAUAACUAGUAAGAUGGUUUCUCUGAGCUCUGGUCCUCUGGCCCAUUGGUCAUAAACCCACAGUUCAGUUGAGUGUAUUAGCGGAGCCACAAUCCCUCUGAGAAAGGAAAC
rnacentral:lncRNA from 13 species